rnacentral:rRNA from 1 species
GAUGAACGCUGGCGGCGUGCCUAAUACAUGCAAGUCGAGCGAACAGACGAGGAGCUUGCUCCUCUGACGUUAGCGGCGGACGGGUGAGUAACACGUGGAUAACCUACCUAUAAGACUUGGAUAACUUCGGGAAACCGGAGCUAAUACCGGAUAAUAUAUUGAACCGCAUGGUUCAAUAGUGAAAGACGGUUUUGCUGUCACUUAUAGAUGGAUCCGCGCCGCAUUAGCUAGUUGGUAAGGUAACGGCUUACCAAGGCAACGAUGCGUAGCCGACCUGAGAGGGUGAUCGGCCACACUGGAACUGAGACACGGUCCAGACUCCUACGGGAGGCAGCAGUAGGGAAUCUUCCGCAAUGGGCGAAAGCCUGACGGAGCAACGCCGCGUGAGUGAUGAAGGUCUUCGGAUCGUAAAACUCUGUUAUUAGGGAAGAACAAAUGUGUAAGUAACUAUGCACGUCUUGACGGUACCUAAUCAGAAAGCCACGGCCAACUACGUG